AUUGAACGCUGGCGGCAUGCCUUACACAUGCAAGUCGAGCGGCAGCGCGGGGGCAACCCUGGCGGCGAGCGGCGAACGGGUGAGUAAUACAUCGGAACGUACCCAGUAGUGGGGGAUAACCUCUCGAAAGAGAGGCUAAUACCGCAUACGACCUACGGGUGAAAGCGGGGGACCGCAAGGCCUCGCGCUAUUGGAGCGGCCGAUGUCGGAUUAGCUAGUUGGCGGGGUAAAGGCCCACCAAGGCGACGAUCCGUAGCUGGUCUGAGAGGACGACCAGCCACACUGGAACUGAGACACGGUCCAGACUCCUACGGGAGGCAGCAGUGGGGAAUUUUGGACAAUGGGCGCAAGCCUGAUCCAGCCAUGCCGCGUGAGUGAAGAAGGCCUUUGGGUUGUAAAGCUCUUUCGGCGGGGACGAAACGGUCCGUGCCUACACCACGGACUAAUGACGGUACCCGCAGAAGAAGCACCGGCUAACUACGUGCCAGCAGCCGCGGUAAUACGUAGGGU
rnacentral:rRNA from 1 species